GCGUGUGUGCGCAGGGCGAGAGCGCAGGCCACCUUCCCGCUUCCCAGCUGGGUGCGCGCCGAGCACAGGAGGGUGCAAUCCGUGCCUUGCGUCGCCCGUGUCGCUCCAGCCACCGUCAAAUCCGGGUAGCGACGCGGGGCGUUUACAGCGGUGCCGAGGAAGAGGACGGAAACGGUGUUACGAUUGCCUGCGUUUAGGAGGUAGCUGCAUUGUGGGAAAAGCUAUCAAGGAAGAAAUUGCCAAAUCGUGUUUUUUUGUUUUCAGAGACUAAAAUGUUCAUUCAAAUGAAUGGCCAUUGGAUAACUCCAGACCUGAAAAUAAACACUGUUGUCAAAACAGCGUCCAGGCCGGGCGCGGUGGUUCACGCCUGUAAUUCCAGCACUUUGGGAGGCGGAGGCGGGCGGAUCACCUGAGUAGUUCACAACAGAUCUGAGUUUUAAUUAAAGCAUGGAAUACAGAAAACUACAAAAAACUUAAGCUUUAAUUUCAUCUGGAAUUCCACAGUUUUCUUAGCUCCCUGGACCCGGUUGACCUGUUGGCUCUUCCCGCUGGCUGCUCUAUCACGUGGUGCUCU
rnacentral:sRNA from 1 species